CAAUAGCGUAUAUUAAAGUUGUUGCAGUUAAAAAGCUCGUAGUUGGAUUUCUGGUAGGAGCGACCGUGCCGAACUUGAUUGUUCGAGUAUUGUGUUGUCUUCAGCCAUCCUCGUGGAGAACUUUUCUAACAUUAACUUGUUGGGAUUGGGACCCGCGUCGUUUACUGUGAAAAAAUUAGAGUGUUCAAAGCAGGCAUUAGCUUGAAUACAUUAGCAUGGAAUAAUAAGAUAGGACUUUGGUACUAUUUUGUUGGUUUGCAUACCAAAUUAAUGAUCAACAGGAACAGUUUGAGGAUAUUCGUAUGAACAUGUCAGAGGUGAAAUUCUUGGAUUUUGAUCAGACGAACUACUGCGAAAGCAUUUAUCAAGGAUGUUUUCAUUAA
rnacentral:rRNA from 1 species